GAAAUGCGAUAAGCAAUGUGAAUUGCAGAAUUCAGUGAAUCAUCGAAUCUUUGAACGCACCUUGCGCUCCUUGGUAUUCCUUGGAGCAUGCCUGUUUGAGUAUCAUGAAAUCUUCAAAGUAAAUCUGUUGUUAACUCAAUUGGUUUCUACUUUGGUAUUGGAGGUCUUUGCAGCUUCACACCUGCUCCUCUUUGUUCAUUAGCUGGAUCUCAGUGUUAUGCUUGGUUCCACUCGGCGUGAUAAGUUAUCUAUCGCUGAGGACACUGUAAAAGGUGGCCAAGGUAAAUGCAGAUGAACCGCUUCUAAUAGUCCAUUGACUUGGACAAUACUUUUAUGAUCUGAUCUCAAAUCAGGUAGGACUACCCGCUGAACUUAAGC
rnacentral:misc_RNA from 1 species